CACUGCGGCACAAACACGGCCAGAGCCACCCUCUGUGAAUCACCUACCUACUGAGAGAAACCUCCCGUGGGUCUGUAGGUUUUUGUCCAGGCUCUAGCUGUGGAAAAACUCAGCAGAGAAUAAACGGCAGAGAGUAAGUGCAUGCAGUGAAGGACAGCAGAAGUGAACGGAUAUUUACAGCAACAUCAAAGUCCUGAUUUGUUCCCUUGGAGCUGGAUUUUUCAAUAAAAGCUGCUAAGAAUUUGGGGGUUUUUUUCUGACAAGUCCAGAAUUAAUCUCUCUCGUAUUUUGCUAUGGAAGAGGGAUGCACUGAAGAGUUUCUCUUCAAAGACCAGGACUUCUCCUCUGAACUGCUGAGGCAGCUGAAUGCUCUGCGACAGAGCAGGAUGCUGACCGAUGUUACCCUCUGCUCCGGGGGCUUUGAAAUCCCCUGUCACCGAAAUGUGCUGGCUUCCAGCAGCCCAUACUUCAAGGCAAUGUUCUGUAACAACUUCAGGGAGAGUCACCAGCCUAAAGUCAUUCUAAAGGGCAUCGACGCUGAUAUUUUGGAUCAGAUUAUCCUUUAUGUUUACACUGGAGAGAUUCUAAUAUCCACUGAGAAUGUCUUGUGCCUCUUUGAGACUGCGUCCAUGCUGCAGUACACUAAGCUGUUUGAGGCCUGCUCUACCUACCUCCAAGACAAGCUGACCCCUGACAAUUGUCUGAGCAUGAUCAGACUGGCAAAAAUCUUGAACUGCCAAAGCUUGAAUAAGAAAGCCAAGGCUAUGGCUUUGAAAUAUUUUCCUGUGGUGGCCUCUUCUGAGGACCUGAAGGACCUCUGUCCCAUGGAGCUCAUAGAUUACCUGGGGGAUGAUGAACUCUGUGGGGAGGAGGAGCAGGUCUUUGAAGCACUAAUGGUCUGGAUCCGGCACGACCUCCAGGCACGACAAGGCUACAUGCAAGAGUUGUUCAAGAAGGUCCGGCUUCAGUACGUCCAUCCAACUUUCCUGUUCCAUUUCAUUGCUAAUGACUCACUCGUUCAGGCCUCACCCACUUGCAGGAGCAUCCUGGAGUCAGCCCGGAGACACAUGUUUUCCUUGUACAGCACCAACACGCCUGACAUCAAACCCAUGAUGCAUGUUCCUCGCAGGUACUCCAACCAGGAGUUCCUCAUCAUCAUUGGUGGCAGGAAGGACAGCCAGCAGACAACGAGGGAUGUCCUGCUUUAUGAUGACAAGACGAACCAAUGGCUGAGCCUUGCCAAACUUCCCAUGCGCCUCUACAAAGCCUCUGCAGUGAGUUUACACAGCAAUAUUUUUGUGCUCGGAGGGAUGCCUGUUAGCAAUAAGAAAAGUCUGGUCAGUGGUAAUAUUUACAUUUACUCCCUCAAACUCAAUCAGUGGAGGUUGAUUGAGCACAUGCUAGUUCCACGUUACUCCCACAGAAGCCUGGCAUACAAAAAUUAUAUUUUAUCAUUUGGUGGAAUUGGCGAAAACCAGGAAAUCCUGAAUUCUGUGGAAAGAUAUGAUAGUGUCUACAACACCUGUGAGAUCAUGGCAAACAUGCCUGUUGCCGUCCUUCACCCUGCUGUUGCUGCCAAAGAUCAGAGGGUUUACCUCUUUGGGGGAGAAGAUAUAAUGCAAAACCCUGUUCGGCUCAUCCAGGUUUACCAUGUCUCCAGGAAUACGUGGUUUCGUAUGGAGACUAGGGUAGUGAAGAAUGUCUGUGCACCAGCUGUUGUGAUUGGAGACCAGAUUAUCAUCGUAGGUGCUGCUUGAAAGCUCCUCCCGCAGAAGUUGAAGUCAUAUUCUCCAUGGCACAAUGAGCAUGAAUUCCUCAGUGCAAGGUUGCACCUGCAAAGGAGCUGAGAUCUGGACUAAGGAACACUGCUGGAAGACAAGUACAGACCAAGGGGCAAAAGAGGCACUUCUUCAGAGAGCAAAGUUACCAUGAACUUGCUGGAUCUGUUUCAAUGCUGAAAUGACGUGGACCCUGGCACCAGGCAGAUCGAAAGCAAGGGAACUGUGCCUGCUUUGUGUUGUUAUGACACAUAUAUUUCCCUGAAAAUGACAUUAAAAUUUACCAGAGGCUCAAACAUUGUUCUGUUUAUCUAUUCCCUGGGUAGGAUCUUAGAGGCAGCCCGAGCACUGCAGAAUGUAGCCUCUGUGAAGUAAACUUGGCCUCUGGCAUGAGGACCAUCAGCAAAUGUGAAAUGGGAAGCCAGCACGUCAGGGCAUACAUGACUGUGUCCCACAGCCUCCUGUCAGGGCUACAUCCCUUGGAGACACACAGAGGGGUGAGCCACGGGAGGAACUCCCUGCCGUGCCCUGAGGUUUGCCAGAGAGGGAGCAGAUGGCACAGAAUGAUUCCUCCCCAUCGCAUUGACCCUGGCUUCGUCCUGUGCAGAAACAUGGAAAGGCUCCUCGUCACCCAGGCUGUGUCAACAAUGCCUCAGGGUGCUUCGGGCCACAUUUCAGCCCUGGCACUCCCUUGCAGUGGAACUUGCAGCUGAAUUAAUUAAUUAAUUAAUUCACAGUGUGGACUAAUCCAUGUGUGUGCACGUAGAGCCAUGGCAUCCAACAGAGAAGACUCCCAGAAACUUAACUGAGUGCCACUCAAGCCUUGACCAAGGAGGAAAGCAGGGCGAUCCUAUGGAUGUUCUUCAAGAUGCUGUGAUAUUUAAUGGCUAAUUCAGACCUUUUUAAAUUAAGGAGGUCUUUGGGCUUGGCAGGUUCUGACUGAAGGCUUCUGGCUGAGAGAUCCUGUUUACAGCCUACAAGAGCUGUCUGCUCAUAAUAACUUGAAAGAAAUGUCAGUAAAUAGAGCUUGUUUCUUCUUCCAGGGGGCUCUGAAAAUUUUUUCAGGGGAAAAGUAGCAAUACACAAUGAAAGAAGGGUUGCAGGCAAACUGAACUACAAAUGGCAGGGAAGCCAAAAGCAUGUUUGCCCUUCCAACCUUGCGCAUAUGUUUUUUAUGGCAUGAAAUGUGACAGGCACAGUUGAUCACAGAUAUCAAGCUGAGAGUCUGUUAUUUGUGAUGGCAGCAUAAAAUACACAGGCCCUCACUCCAAAGAGCUUGAGAAGAGAAAUUGGGAGCUGAGGACACAGAUGGCCCUCAGAGCACCAUCAGCUGGACUUUCAAAGCAGCCAGCUUGUUUAUUAGGCAAGAGCAACACCUUAUGCCAUAACCUGGGUAACUGAAGUAGAAGUGAAAUAAAAUAAAAUAAAAUAAAAUAAAAUAAAAUAAAAUAAAAUAAAAUAAAAUAAAAUAAAAUAAAAUAAAAUAAAAUAAAAUAAGAUAUAAAAUAAAAUUCAGCUCUUCCAUGUGUCUUUCUGGUCCACAGAUCAGCACACAAAUAAGAUCAAAUAAAUACCAAGGCCCAGGACUUUCUGGAAACUUGGGCAAAGCUGGCUGCACCAACCUUUCUAUCCCCAGGUGCCUCAUAGCCAGAAGGGAACCAUUACCCUUCACCUAGAAGAAUUCCCUUCACUUAAGAAGAGUUUUUUCCUCUGAUUUUCCCUUCUAAGAUUUUUCCCUUCCCAGGAAAAGUAGCAGAAGGGGUGGGACAACUCCAGGAAUGGGCACACACCUGGGAAAUUGGAUCCCUUCUGCUUUUAAAAACAAGUGAUUUAUAGAGUAAGGACUGAACAUUCAGACAGCUCAGGAAACUCUGAUUUCCAGGAACAAGCUAUAAAAGCCAUUUAGAUUGUCUGAAAAUACUUUGACAUUUCCCUUUCACAUUUCCAAAGUAAUUUCAAAGGUAAUAGGUAGUGCAGUCCAAUCUUCCUAGGACUGCCACCAGUGAAGGGAAAUGCAGCUGGGAAAAUGGAUCAAUAGGAAUUUGCCUUUAUCAUAUUUGUUUUCUAGAACACAUUUUCCUCUACAGAUUUGGUGCUGGACUAUUGCUAAUGCAUGGAUUUUCAUAACACUGCACACCAUGUAAACAUCACAAGGCACCAAAGGGGAAGUUGAAAGUAGGGGUUGACCACUGUGGUUAUGUCUGCACACAGCACAGAGAAGCACAAAAUAAGUCUUUAAAACUGAAAAUUGCUGCUGCUGAGCCCUAAAGUCUUUGCCUCUACUGGAGCAAUACCAAGUCUGAGAGAGAUGAAGCCAAAGCCCAUAAGUUAUGUCAUCAGUACCUACUGGAAGGGGAAAACUCAGAUGUGCAGUGGCCUUCAGCAGGAGAUCUGGGGUUUUUACACAGCAAAUCACCCUGCUGCCCCUUGCAACCAGCUCCUGAGGCUGCACUGGGCACUGGCCACCCAUGAGAUGCAGCUACCCCAGAGCAGCUUUACACAGAGCUCCUCUCUCAGGCAGGGAUGCUCACUGUGUCCCACUGACACUGCCUGGGUGGUGUUGAGGCAAGCAAACUGUAGAGCAACCCAGACUGGAACUGUCUGCAAAAAUGGAGGGACAUCUGUCCUCUGUAGCAGACUUGCCCUUGGUUUGCACCAUCUUUCCACCUCAGAAGGCUCCGAAUCACUUUAAGAGACAGAAAAAUGAAGACGCAACAAGGCUG